GCCUUCCCCAGAGGGUUUGGGUGUUGCUGGGGAAGAGGUGACAACACCUCAGGAAAUCACAUUCCGAAGGCUUCUGCCGUAGAAGUAGACUCCUCACCCUGGCCUCGGUGUGGAGGUAGACAGGGUGUCCCUGGACUCAGACACCUGAAGGAUACCUGCAUGGGCCUGGUGGACACAGCAGUGGCCAUGGGGCCAUGGCAGCACCUGGGCAGAGCUGACUUGGAUCAUGAGCUCUGAUGAAGAACUGGAGCACAGAGAAGUCACUCAGCCAGCGGUGGGCAGGGCUGGAAUUUGGACCCAUCCAGGCUGCUCCAGGAUCUGAGGCUCCACCCUGAAGCUUGGGUCUUGCAGGGAAGGGGUGGGGCUUGCAAGGGGGCGGGGAAGACCCAUUUUGCUGCUGUAAGCAACAGUUGGGUAGUUCAAGUUCUAGCCCUCAGCUGAGUGGGAGGGUCUGCAAAAUUUGUCAGGAGCCUCAAAUGACAUCCCAAAGGAUUUGGGCUUGAAAUGGAGCAACAGAUUGGAUUCUCGGGCCACAGGCAUAGUUGGGCAAGACACACCUUGCUUGCUACUGAGAAUGUGGCCCAUGUGUGGAAUACCAGCAGCUUUACCUGGGAGUCUGUUACAAAGUCAGAACCUCAGGCCCCACCCAGACCUGUUAUACUAAGUCAGAAUUUACAUUUGAUUAUGUGAAAUCCAUCUGCUCUGUGAUCCUGUCCCUUGGGAUGACAGGGAGCAAGGCAACACUGGUGGUUCUGGGGCUCCUUUUCUCUAGUUUGUGCAGUUUCAGAGUCGUAGACAGUCCAGGAAAACCGGAGGCGGCUUCCAGGAGUCUGUCUACAGCGCCUUCCCUCUAGCUCCUGGGCCCAUCUUGCUCCAGAUAAAAGCCAAAGGCCUUACUUUGGCCGUGAGGCCAUGAGGACUGUGCUGGGCUUCCUGUCCAAGCUCGUCCCCCCGCCCCCCCCACCUCCCCUUACUCUCUCUGCUCUAGUCUCUCAGAUGCUCCGCUGUCCUUGAACUUGCCACCCCAGGAUCUUUGCACUACUUGUUCCUGUCACAAGUAUUCCCAUGGCCCUCCUUCACCCUGUCUUCAGGAAAUACCAUUUGCUGAGCAAGACCUUCACUGCCACCUACAAAGGAGAGCAGCAGCCUGCACUGCCCCACCCCCAUCACUCUGUCCCUCACCCUACUUCCUUUUUCUCGGCAGCUAUGGUUGUCUACAGAGUAAGCAAGUGUUUCAUAACUCAUGUGAUUGUUUUUCCAGCUCUCUCACUAGCAUGUGAAUGCCUCCAGCACCCAGAACAGCCCAGCCCAUAGUAGGUGCUCAAUAAAA